rnacentral:lncRNA from 15 species
AUGGACAUAGUUCUUCUGCUCAUUAUCACUGCAUCAGGGCUGAGUGGUACCUCGUCACAUGGUGGACGUCAGUACCAUUUUAUCUAUGACCAGAAGACCAUGACUGAAGCCCAGAGUUACUGCAGAGAACAAUACACAGACCUGGCCACUAUAGACAACAUGGAGGACGUGACUACCCUGAUUAACAUGGCAGAUUUUAGCCAAAUGAUCUACUUUAAAGACAGAACGGUGAGUUGACUUUUCACAACGAUUUUGUCUUUCUUUCAUAUUAAAACAUUUACAAAAGAGAAUCUGCUGACUUUUCCUUGACAAAGCAGACUUGGUAGAUUAUUGGUUCUUCUGAUAUGGCUAUCUUAAUGACAAGUAGAUGUUUUUAAAGCAUACAUAUUCUUGAUUUCAGCCAUUUUUAUUAAUUGUAGUCGUACAUAGGUACGGUGACCCUGAGAGUUCAACCCACUGCAACUUAAAGGUUGUAUAUGUAACUUUGAUUUAACCAUUGUUAAUGGUGACACCAGUGGCCGUUAAGUGAACUUCAGUUAGUGUCUGGUUGCUUGGUGCAUGGUUUGUAGGGGCCAGUUAGCAUCAUCCUGUUCAUUGGCCAAAAGUGACAUACAAUAGACUGAACACUGGAAAAGAAAUUACAAUCAUAUUUAACAUCUGCCAUGUGCCUAUAUUUUAUUUGGGCCAGUGACUCCAUGCUAUUAAUAAAUACUAUUAAUUAGCUUUCCAUUUACAAAUCACCCCAUCAGCCAACACCAUGAAGCAACCAAUGCCAGCCUGCCAACCCCAGCUUAGCUUAGCUACAAUUACCUAGCUGGAUGCCCCUGCUCGCAUUGCUCUAGGCGAAUGGUUAGCUUUGUACUGUUACAUCAUUUAUUGUUGGCAAAAAAGAAUUAGUUAGUAUCAUGGAUGCUGUAAGCUGGUGAAGAAAGCAGGCAAGCUAAGAUCAGCCAGCCAGCUGCAACCCAUCCAAGCACAGUGAACAGUGUAAUCUGGUGCCGGCCACCCCCCAACACCAGUCGACAAAGUAACCUGAAAACCGCGAGCCAGCCAGGUCAGCCCUGGGAGUCUGGUGGAACCUAGCUGACACUGCUUUGCUAGCAAUUUGUCCGCAUUAGCAAGCAAGUUAACGUUAGUCAGCUAAAGCACAAUAUAUUUAGCAGACUUUGCGGUAAUGUUAGCUUUGACUUCUGACUUUGUGUGAGAGGCUUCUCCCAGCAGAACCAAUGGGUGGAGUUAAACCUGAUCCAGCUCAUCCUCUAGUUCCAGCCCCACCCAAAGACUGACAAAGGUUUGACAACAGUGAAAACAGUACUGGUUGUUGUUGGGUGGGGCGAUACAAAAUAAUUAAUACAUAAAAAUAAUAUGUAAAAUGUGAUUUCAGUAACUUAUUGUGUCUCGUCAAGUGUGUUAAUUUUAGUCAUGUUCAUGUUUAGUGUUUCAUGUUUAGUCCUUCCUGUUUUAUUUUGUACUCACCUUUUCCCUCACAAUUCAGACCCUGACUGCCUCCUUGUGUGAUUUUCCCGCCUUUGUAAUUGUCUGCCCCGCCCUGAAUGUUUUCACCUGUUUUCACUUACACAUGGUAUAAAUAGUUCUCGUCUCCCUUUGUCUUUGUCAGUUCAUCUUGUUCAGAUGGUAAAGAGUAUUGUCAAGUGUUUCAGCCCAGUGUUCAGGUUAGUUCAUGUUUCGAUUGAAGUUUUUGUUGCUUUGUUUUGCACUUUGUUACCCUCCUUCAGAGCGCCUUUGGUUUGAUAAAUAUAUAUCAUUUUUUUCUACAUCUUCGUCUGUCCCAGAGUCGUGCAUUUGAGUCCACUAACAUUGUGUCAGAGGUCGUGACAUAACUUCACAUAUGUACUAUGUUGGUCGAUAUUGAAAAUAAUGAAAAUGAGUAAACCGAUUGUAUGAUUUAGAUAUGAUUGCAGAUAUUUACAAUUCAAAUAAAAGUACAUAAUAUCUGAAUGAUGCAAUCAGAAAGUUAAAACUAAACAUUGCUCAUUUCCACUAACUGAAUUGAUCUGUUUUGUAUUCUGUGUGAUUUGCAGUGUUUAUGGCUUUUUAUUUGUCUAAAUGCUGUGCAUGUGUUUUCCUAAAUUGGUGAAGAUAUUUUCUUUACUUGUAUUUCUUUCGUGUAUUUACAUAUGUUUCCUUUAGUUACUGUGCAUUGAGCCCUCAGGGCACUGUACAAAAGUUAUCGGUAAAACUACUGGUAGAGGAUCAGAUUCAUAUGUAAANNNNNNNNNNNNNNNNNNNNNNNNNNNNNNNNNNNNNNNNNNNNNNNNNNNNNNNNNNNNNNNNNNNNNNNNNNNNNNNNNNNNNNNNNNNNNNNNNNNNCAUCAGCACCGGAUCCCCCCAAGGCUGUGUUCUUUCUCCUCUGCCCUUCUCCCUGUAUACUAACAGCUGCACCUCCAGUCACCAGUCCGUCAGGCUCCUGAAGUUCGCGGAUGACACCUCCCUCAUUGGGCUCAUCUCUGGUGGAGAUGAGUCCGCCUACAGAUGGGAGAUUGACCAUCUGGUGACCUGGUGCAGCCAGAACAACCUGGAGCUAA